rnacentral:lncRNA from 1 species
CUCCUUUCUCCUUCCCUCUUGAAGGAGAAGCCUUGAGUUGUGCAUCUUCUCUUGAUUUUACUGAGGUAUGGUAGCUAUAGCAAACUGCCUACUGCCUUUUUUUUUAACUUUUGCUCUCAGUGGCUCCAAGGCAUCGAAACUAUGCUAGUUCCAUGAGUGCUCCAAGUGAGGCAAGACAGAGACUAGUCCCUUGGGCAGCCCUCUGAAGAGCCAGAAUGCCAACACAUGCUCCACUCUUCUCCCUCCUUGCCAAGGAAGAAGUCUUAACUUGUGCACUUCCUCCCCCAAUUGUGCCAUGCUGUGCCAACCAUAUCAAGCCACCUGCUGCUUUCCAUUGUCCUCAGUGACCCCCAGACAUUCAAAUUAUGCUAGUUCUGUGGGCACACCAAUCAAGGAAGUAAGAGACCUGUUUCUUGGGCAGCUCUCUGAAAAGCUGGAAUGUUGGAGGCAUGCUCUAUUCUUUUCUCCCAGAGGAAAAAGAUGUGAAGAGGCAUUCUGUCUUGGCACUGAGCUGUGCUAACUUGGGGGAGAGGCUGAUGCAGGUAAAUGAAAUUGCUCUUCUUAACUCAAUUCAAUUUGACUAUUCUGUACUUUGUGCACACUUGGAAUACUGCAACAUCUUAAUUGAAGUCUGGAAUUCAUAUAAAAGAGUCAAAGAUUUCAGUGAUGAACAAGAUAGGCAAGGAGAUGUUUGAUAGGAGGACACACACAAUAUAUAGACAUAAAUAAUAAAUAAUAUAUAUUAUUUUCUAUACUUAGUUAAACGAAAAUAAGUUAUAGUUAUUUGAAAGAGAUUGGUAAAUGAGAGUAAGGUAGCUAUUUUUCUAUAGAAAGUAAAGUAAGGCAUCUCUGAGCAGGUAGCAUCUGAGCUGACACCUAAACAACAAGAAAUAUUCAACAACAAGAGGACCUAGAACUCAGUAUUUCAGGCAGACAAACAGCAAAUGUGAGCUUCACAGGGUUUAAGAACAAUCUAGGAACAGUGAAUAAAAGGAAAAAGGAAAAGAAAGGAGUUUAAAGAGGUAGGCAGGGUUCCGUUCAUGUUCACAAUGCUGAAGGUCACGAGGAUGGGGUUAGAUUUUAUUCCAAUUGUAAGAAGAAACUAUUGGAGGAUUUUAGGCAGGGAAGCGAUGUGAUUUGAUUUAUGUUUUAAAAAGAUCACUAUGGCUUCUGCAUAGUGGAUGAGGAAAACAAAGCAAGACACAUUAAAUGGUUUGUCCUAGACUACAAGGUAAAUCACAGAACAAGAACUGUCUUCUGACUCCAAAUCCAGCCUUUUUCAUCAUUUACCUUGUGACCUCAUCAUUUUCUAUUUUUUAAAAAUCAUUUUGUCCUCCAGACAUGAUCUUCAUUUCUACCUUCUCAGAUUAUUCUAGCAGUUACUAAAUUACGUUUUUAUUUAUUCUUCUCACAGAUUGACCUUGCUAGGUUAUAGAGGCAUGUUCUAUCGUCUUUAUUAAGGUAUGCCAUUUAGUGAGGGUAUGCUUAGUGCAGGUUGUAUGUAUAAUUAAAUGUACAAUUAUGAUCCUACAAUAAAACACAACAGAUUAAUAACUUUCCUACUGAGAGGAAACUGAAAAGUAGGACAAUAGUAAAGGAAAACUAAUUCUUUAUGUUUGUAAGUGAUUUUCAUCAAUGGCUUCCACUAAUUCUUUUCAAUUUUCCAAAUAAAUAAAACUUAAGUAACUUUUAAUUUUCUUUUAUAAAGUCAACUCUUGUCUAGAGAAAUUUGAGGUGUUUCACUCUUGUUGCCCAGGCUGAAGUGCAAUGGCACGAUCUCGGCUCACUGCAACCUCCGUCUCCCGGGUUCAAGUGAUUCUUCUGCCUCAGCCUCCCGAGUAGCUGGAAUUACAGGCAUAUGCCACCACACCCAGCUAAUUUUCCAUUUUUAGUAGGGACGGGGUUUUACCAUGUUGGUCAGGCUGGUCUUGAACUCCUGACCUCAGGUGAUCCACCUGCCUUGGUCUCCUAAAGUGCUGGGAUAGCAAGCAUGAACCGCUGCGUCUGGCCCAUUUUUCUUAUUCUUAAACAUCCUACUAAACAUUUUGGAGCUAGUUGUAUUAGGAGGUUUAUUUUCUAUGUGGAUGGAGCAGUUUAAAAAAGCUGAAAUAAGUGAAAUCUUCCAAGUGAUUUAAAAAAUUUUUAAGCCCAUGUUUCUACCUACUAAAAUUCAAAAAUAUUUACUAUAGAAGAUGACUAGUCUUCUUUAUGACAGUUAUUUUAAUUUAAAAGGAAUUAAAAGGAUAUAACUUUUCUUGAAACAUUUGCACUUAAUCAUGCUGUCAAUUCAUUAUAUGAUUUUGGAUUACUUGCUUAAUGUUUCUAUUUCUUCUCUGUUAAUACUAAUUACUCCUAAUAAUUAU